AUUGAACGCUGGCGGCAUGCCUUACACAUGCAAGUCGAACGGUAACAGGUCUUCGGAUGCUGACGAGUGGCGAACGGGUGAGUAACACAUCGGAACGUGCCUAGUAGUGGGGGAUAACUACUCGAAAGAGUGGCUAAUACCGCAUGAGAUCUACGGAUGAAAGCAGGGGAUCGCAAGACCUUGUGCUACUAGAGCGGCCGAUGGCAGAUUAGGUAGUUGGUGGGAUAAAAGCUUACCAAGCCGACGAUCUGUAGCUGGUCUGAGAGGACGAUCAGCCGAACGGGGGCUGAGAGACGGCCCAGACUCCUACGGGAGGCAGCAGUGGGGAAUUUUGGACAAUGGGCGCAAGCCUGAUCCAGCAAUGCCGCGUGCAGGAUGAAGGCCUUCGGGUUGUAGACUGCUUUUGUACGGAACGAAAAGCCUUGGGUUAAUACCCUGGGGUCAUGACGGUACCGUAAGAAUAAGCACCGGCUAACUACGUGCCAGCAGCCGCCGUAACAC
rnacentral:rRNA from 1 species